rnacentral:sRNA from 1 species
AUCCAAAUUUCUCCAAAGACAGAUUUCUAUGUAUCUCUGAAUAUUUAGUUUGGGCAAAUGGCCAGCAGCAUGGGCAAUGAUGAAGACGACGAAAACACAGACAUAAUUUUUCUAAGAGUGAUGAGAUUCAUCUCAAAAUCAAAUCAAGGAAAUACCAAAGCUGAGACAAACCAUAUCACCUUUCAAGGAAGAUUUUAUUGUAGUUUUAUGUUUGCAUCCACUGCCAUAAAGUGAUAGUGUGGGAAGUGAUGGUUUUGCAAGGAGUGCAAAAUAUUUCAGGAGUGUGAGAGCAGAAAUUGUUUUCCUUGCAAAGAGAGAAGGAACUUCUUUGUGUUUUUGGGUUUUUGGAAAUAGUACAACAAAGGGAGAAAAAGUUGAACCCAAAAAAAAAAGCUGGACAAAAAAGAAAAGAGAAAAAGUAUGUCAUAUCAGCAAGAAAUUAACGUCGUCGUUGUUCAUUUAACGGAAAGGACCUUAUUGAUACAAUUAUCAUAAUAUAGGGACUUAAUGUCUUCAUUUUUAAAAUCGGAUAGUAAACAGAAAUUCAUCAUGAAGACGAAGU